UACAAUCUUUUCGGCAAAAGAUCGUUCAAAAAAGUUACAGUUAAAAGAAUUUUUAAUGGUUAUUAUUGAUCUAAUUGAUAACAAUUUCUUUGAAAAAAAAAAAACAGAUUAUUAUCAAUUUUAUAUGAGUUGGCAAAAAAAUACAUUUGUACCGAGCAAUUACAUGUGAAAGAAGAAUGAAACUUAAAGUUAUUUUGUAGGUUUUUGCCAGGAUUUCAACUCUAUCGAUUUCAGUGGUGUUCACCAUACGCAUAACUUUGGCCCCAAACGAUCUUAUCUUCAAAAAUGUGAUAUUUUAGUUGUUUAUAUCCUCCACCAUUGGGUGGGGAGUUUAUACAUAUUUCGUCAUUCCUUUUGUAAUAUAGUUCUAAGACCUCAUAAAGGAAAGGGUUUUCCCAAAGGAUCUCGACAACUUUGAA